rnacentral:rRNA from 1 species
UACGAAGGGGGCUAGCGUUGCUCGGAAUCACUGGGCGUAAAGGGUGCGUAGGCUGGUCUUUAAGUCAGAGGUGAAAGCCUGGAGCUCAACUCCAGAACUGCCUUUGAUACUGAGGAUCUCGAGUUCGGGAGAGGUGAGUGGAACUGCGAGUGUAGAGGUGAAAUUCGUAGAUAUUCGCAAGAACACCAGUGGCGAAGGCGGCUCACUGGCCCGAUACUGACGCUGAGGCACGAAAGCGUGGGGAGCAAACAGG